rnacentral:lncRNA from 1 species
ACCUUAUAAGAGGAAAGUAAGCCCUGCAAAUGCUGAGGAAUUCAACCAUUCUAGCACCUCUAGGAAAAAUUUAGUUAUCAUGAUCUUUCUCAUAGGUCAUAAUUUUUAUUCUUUACAUGUUUGCUAGUUUUACCAAAUAUUGCAUUGCUCUAUAUAGGAAGAAAACAAGUACUGAUGAUGCCAAUGGACCUAAGACACAAAAGAGGUUGCAAUUGCAAAAGGUCUAAGUGUACAAAAAAUACUGUGAAUGUUUUCAAUUUGGUAAUUCCAACAGUUUGAAAAUGUGCCUUCGGUAUGUACAUACCGGAGGUGCAAAAUGAGAAAAGUUAAAAUGAACUACCGGUAUUUAUCUACCGGAAGUCUUAUAAAGGUUAUUUUUGUAUUUUUAGGGGGCCUAAAGAGAUAUUGAGGGGGCCUAAAAAGCAAUCCUCCUUUCUUAUUAUUAUGGGUGAUAAUUUAGGCCCAUUGUGUCUCUUUAACUAAAGCAAUGGUCGAUAAAAUGUGAAGUUUUCACCCCCCACAUCCUCGAGUACCCUCUUCAUACCGCUCAUUUUUCAACUCAUAAUUUUUUUAAAGAAGUUUGUUAUGUAUUUUUAAGCACUAUGAUACAGUGAUUAUGUAUCUCAUUAAAUUAGUUUUCUAGUGAGAGAAACUCCAACUUCUCUCUAAACUUUCUUUCUCCUUCGUUCAUCGAGGAGGGGUGGUUUUAGGUCAUUUUUUGACCUAGAAUCACCCCUCUACAUCUUUUUUCCCCUUUUCGUUCAAUCUAAAUAAGUGGUUUUCACAUCUAUCAAGUUUUUUCUUUUGUGUUUUUUGUGAUUUCGUCGUCUAAGUGCGGUGUUGUGUGUUGUUCGUCGUCUUGUGCGGCGUUUGAUUUCGCGUUUUGUCGCGAUGUUUGUUCAAUUCCUAUUGAAAGAUCUACAUCAAUCAAUUACAAAUUAAAGCAAUGAUUUGGACGUCAACGUUGCAGAUCCGGAAGCAUGGGUAUUUCGGUGAUUUAGAUUUUAUCGUAUUAUUUGUAGGCAUUUUGCCGUUGUAUGCUAUUAACUUGGGUGUUGUGAGUUUGUUCGCAGAUUCACCCUUUACGUUUUUAGCGAUGUUUGUAUCUGAUGGACUCUAUCGAUUUGAAUGAAUGAAUAUCGUUUUGUUUUUGUAAAAAAAAAAAAAAUGUAUCUCAUUAAAUUAGGGUCGAUACUGAAUUGGCUGAGGGCACAUUAGUAAAUUUGUUGGGCAUUAAUCUACUGCUAUCUACUAAUUACUAUAAGAAAAUUGUACUAUAACAAAAUUUCAUAGUUAUCAUUCAUCAUCUUCUAAGCGUUAAUUUGCAAAAUAAAAAACUAAUUUAUUAAUUUUUUUGUAUUUAUCACUUCCAAACCUAACUAAUUAUCUAUAUUUAAAAAUAAAAAAAAAACCAAUUUAUUCACAUGAUGAUGACUACAUAUUUUUUGUAACGGAAAAUAUAUUUACUAAUUUUUUUGGCUUUACACUUCCUACCUAACUAAUUUCCUAUAUUAAAAAAAGUCAAUCUAUUAUAAUAUAUUAAUCUACUACUACUAUAAUAAAGUCAUACUCAUAAUCUUCUUAAAUUUAUGGUUUUAAUCGUCAUUUUGCAGAUUAAAAAAUUAAUCUAUUCAAUUGUUGAGAAAUUAGUUUUCUGGUUCUAUUACUUCCAAGACUAAAUAAUUCCUAUAUUAAAGAUAAAAAGUCGAUCUUUUUCUUUUGUUACAUGAGAGAAGGAAAAAGAAAAAAGCAAAGAAAAAUUGUGUUAUAAUAAAAGGCACUCCUAUAGCAUUGGCUAUAGAUGAGGAUAUACAUGGUAAUGGUUGAUUAAUAAUCAUAAGAGCAUUGACGGAGCCAGGAAUUUUAUAGAACAUGGGCAAAAAAUUUAUCGUAAAACGUUACUUCCUUCCUGCGAAUAAUUUCACAUUUCCUGCGGAUAAUAUCACAUUUUCUGCGGAUAUGUCUUUCCUGCGGAUCCUAAAAUCCUAAGAUAUUACCUCACCUGGGAACCUAAAUCCUUGAUAAAAUCUACAGGAAAUGUGUUUCCUGCGGACUUUACACAAAAAUCCGCAGGUAAAUCCCAGGAAAAGCUAAAAGUUCAAGUAAUGGCUGGGCAAGUAUAUCCGCCAAGAGUUUCCUUCACGAAAAUUAUGAUGAAUGGAAAUAUGUCACUCCUUGAACAAAUACAUCCGAAUGAGUUCCAAGAGGAUCACACAGUGGUGAAGCCUCGACACUUCCUUUGAUACAAAAUGCACUACAUGAAGAGAGUCGACAAAAACAAACCAAUUUCUUAGAACCAUCCUUCAAGCAAAGCUUAACUCCAAUCAUAAGGGCAUGAAUUUCUACAUGCAAAAAAAUACUACUACCUAGAGUUGCUGAUCAAAAUGGAUUAUUACUGUUAAAAGUGAUUGUACUUGAACUUUAUGAAAUUUGAGUAGAAUUUCGUACGGGUGUACAUGUGGUAUUUGAGUCAUAAGUUUUGCUCUAUAACCAAGUUUUGAGUGCUUGAUGAAAAUUUGGAAUCUUGACUCAAUUCCCUUCUAUUUGAGUACAAUUUGAUAUGGUUUCGACUAAUAAUGAGUUUAGAAAUUGUGUUUAAAGUCAAGGGUACUCAUACUUGAAAUUGUAGGGCAGACUCUGCGGGUUUUAAUGUACUCAUAUUGCUUUGAUUUCCUGGAGGUUUAGGAGCAUUUAAAGGAGCUGUUUUUAAAGAUUUGGAUUGGGUCUCUAGGAACCUUAGAAUAGAAUUAAGCAUAAAUUCUUCUGAAGCUAAGGUGUUACCGUGAGUCGUUUGGAAUGGUCAAGAGUGGUUAGGCUAUGACAAAAGUGAGCUUAUGCCGAUUAUACGUUGUGGAAUCAGUGGGUGCAAGAGUUGAAGCUUUGCAUAAGCAGGAUUUGGGUAUAAGCCGGUUACAAUAAGUUAAGGGACCAAAUAAUCAAUUAAACUUAAAAAAUAACAAGAAUACUGAUUUGACAUUUUCAAUAUUUCUGAAACAUGCUAGAUCCGUUUUCAAAAAUUGUAAAUGAAGAUGGUGAGGAAAGUUGUACCCUGUUGUUUCUAAUGCUAAUCAAAGGCAUGAUUCCCUCACAUAUAGUCCUAUAAAAUGCUGCCCAAUGAUAUUUGCCCAAUAUAAAGUUGUGCCCUAACUUAUUUCCACCUUGUGGCUUCAUGAAAUCUACUAUCCAUACCCAAUACUCUAUGUAGGUAACUAGAGUACAGCACAGCGCAGCAUGCAACAUUGCCAAUAACAACCUUGUUCUACGGUUCAAAAGGUCAAAGUCAGUUAAAUAAAAACCAAACUAGGAAAACAUAUAUAUAUAAUGUUGCUAUUAUACCAUGUUCUAUGUGAAAUUACCAGCAACACCAUGUUAAUAAGCAACCAUUUCCAAAACAGAAAAACUAACUAAAGAAACAUUCAGGUAAAAGAAAUUCAUUAUCUUGCAAUUUUCUAGUCGUUAUUUCGAAUCUGUACCAUAUGUAUAACAUAUUCUAGGAUGAGAUUCUUUUAGAAUAUGUAACUUUAUUAUGGUUAUGAUGUUCACAGGUAAUGUCCAAAUUUGCGAGGGAUUGAUCACGAGAUAACAACAAAUCGAGCAACUCUAGAGUUCCAAGCUUUUGUAGUUGCAACGUAGAAUAUCAUUUGUCAAUUUCGUACGAUGAUUUGAAUGUUAACGUUCAUGAAAUGGCAUUCAAGAGGAUAUAAUGAUCCUGUCAUACAGUAAGAUGCAAUCAAAAGCAUAAAUAUUAAUCAGCAUAAGAAAUGAUUACAAAAAUUUAGGGAUUGAAGGUUUGCAUCUUUUGGUUUAAAUUUGAGUUUUGACUAGAAUAGGUUUAGACCAUUUUAGGUUCAGAAGAAGAAACACAAGAAUCAACACCUAAGACAAUGGGAUCAGGCAAAAGGUCAUUUUGUAACCAGACAUUUAAUCUUUGGAAAAGAUCGUGCUUUCAAAGAAUCAUAUUCGUUGGAAAAAUAUGUGGUAACAUAGGAAUCCCCUUGCUUGGGAAAUUUGAACAAUAUCACCAUGUUUGAGUUCUUGCUAAACGGAAGAUAUGUUAUUAAUCCAUCAGAUGCUACUAAUGAUUUCUGGAGAAAUUGAAUGGUAGGUUCAAGAGAUGAUCAACGUGUUUAUACAAGACUUAAAAAAUAGAGUCGUCGGAGGAUGGUUUAAUGAAUAAAACCACAUAUUAGAUCAAUUUAUAAGAUUGCCAUGGCUGUUUAUACAAGACGAGUUUAACAGUUAAUCCUUAUUGAAAAGCUAAUUGAACAAGCAAACUACAAACAGAAAGUACGUACAAAUAUCUUAGAAUUACAAAUACAAAAUAUGAAAGUAGCUAAUCCAAAAAAGAUAACCCAAAAUUUCAAUUACUAAACCACAUAUUACUAUGGAAAAAAGACAAUUUUUGUUCUCUAAUGUCGAUAAAGUAUAUUACAGCAGCAACAGACAGAAUUUUCUAGCAGCAGCAGCAGCAUUAGAAGGCAAAAGAAGAUGAGUGCAAAGAAAUGAAGUGUUGAGUCAAUAACAAUGUCAAUUUAACUAUGCUUAGAGAAGUUUCUAAAUUAAUAUAAUGCAGAAUUUGAGUAACAAACAAAAGUGUACAAGACACAAGGUUGAUAUUAAAUUCAGGUAAGAAGAGACACAAGCUUGGUAGACCUGUUGUGUCCUUCAAAUCAGAAUCUUACUUGUGCAAAUUCGUUUUUAUAGCAGGUUAAUUGAAAUCCUGCAUUCAUCAGUCAUCACUAGUGAGGCACGUUCAACUCAUAUUCCCUGCAACCGGUACCUCAUUUUUACAAUGAUUUCUAUAGCUUGGCUAAGACAAAUUUACCACAACAAAACUCAAACAAAAUGCUAAUAAUUGUUUAACCAAAAUAAACGGAUCCUCGUCAAAUGCAUUCAUGUUUGUUAUAAACUAGAAUUUGAAUUCUGUUUUCCAUAUAAGGAGCACGAUUUAAAUACCAAAUUGAAUGCAUAAUAAAUGGAAUCAUGAAAACUAAAAUUGAUGAAUAUUGAUGAAAAAACCAUAACAAAUAAUAUUCAAAAGUCAGAAGCCAAUAAAUCAGUGAAACUUUACAUGUAUUAUUAAACAAAUGUUGGAGAUUUGGUAGAAUUAAUUUUUUGCUGCUGGACAAUAAAGAAUGUGGACAUAGGAGUCAUACAACUUUCAUUUAUAAGCGAAAAUUCAUUCAGUAUGAAUGUACGAAAAGAAGAAAUGUGUUUUCAACAGGCAAAUAAGAAACUUUAUAAUCAAAUUGAGAAAUAAAAUGUGUUUUCACAGUGGCGAGGGGGACAAGGUCCACAAGUCAAACAUCGUGAAGAACAACCACCAACCACUUUGACCUCUUGAAGGUCACAGUUCCUGCAGAGAUUCUUAACUGAGUGUUGACCCGCGAUAGUAUGAGUUAAAGCAAUCCUGCGGAGUUUGGGAAGCGCCAAGAAUUGAUCAUCACUAUCUAUCACACAGUUACUACGACAACCAGUGUCGGUAAGGAUGAGUUCUUCGAGUAGAGGGAAACAAUCAGCAAUGAAGAGCAGAUCAUUCUUGUUAAUAAAUCUCAGUUGAUAACAAGUGAGAGAUGUCAAAUUUUUCAUUUUCUUGGACAAAACACGCAACUCAUUUUGAGGAACCUUGGGGGGGUGGUAGAGAGUGAGCGAUUUGAGGUCUAAAGGGAAAGUGGAGAUUUGGUUUAGAAACUCACUGAGGUCAGCUUCUCGGGCCCCCGCAUCGAGAGAGAGAGAGUGAUAUUGAGUGAUGCAAUGUUAGGGAACCUUUCAAAGAGACGAUUAAGAAAAGGGAUAGUUGCAUUGGAGAUUGUGACCAAGAAUCGAAGACUGUUGGUGAUGGACAGAAACUGUUUUGAGACGAGGGAGAGAGAUCUGAAACUACCGUUGGUGAUGGGUAGAGAUUGUUUUGAGACGUGGUAGAGAGUUCCUAUUCUGCGCUGGAUAUGUUGAAAACCUAUAUUCCCAUCAAGACGAAGAAGGUUGAAGGUGUUGUUGUCCUCGUCGUUGAGGAAUUUGAAGAUGUGUUCCCAUAACUCCUCUGGUAAAUAUGAACGUGUUGAAGCCAUUGUUUUUGAAACAUUGAAUUUGGAUGAUGUCGCCAUUGUUUUGAAACAGAUUCUCUUGUUGAUGUGGUAGGCUGUGCCGAUGGAAUGGAAUUUUGAAGCAAGAAUAAUUAGGGUUACUAUUUUCUUGAAUAUAUCUUCUUUCUAAAUGCAAUAUUAACCCGGCAAAUUCUAUGGUACACCCAAUAAAUUUGGGUGUAUUGGGUGUAUCGGUCGUAAAAUUAAUAAUAAAUGAGUUGUUUUUUUGAAGAAAAGUAAUUAUUUUAUAUCAUUGACAACUAAGAUAAUUAAAUUUUAUUUACCAAAAGUUUCGACGAAAUAAAAUUUAAUUUUUAAGAAUUUUUAUUACUUAUAACAAUGAAUAUUGAUUAUUUUUUAUGACAAAAUGUAAAUUUUUUAAUAUGAUCCUUAUAAACAAUGAAAUGAUGAUUUUUCUUAUGAAAUGGUGUUUUCUAAAAUAUAAAUAUUGACAAAUACAUUUUUAUUUCAUUAAGGUGAUCGUUAAUUUAUAUAUUUUGUGAAACAAGAGUACCGGUACACUCAAAAUUGUGAGUGUACCAUAGAAGUUCCCUAUUAACCCUAGAUUUAACCUAAUUUUUUUCACGUGACUUUACUAUUCUUAUUUCUAAAUGUUAACCCGUGACGCAAUAUUAAACCUAGAUUUCGCGUGGCUUUACUAUAUUAACCCUAGAUUUAAUUUAUGCAAAAUGUCAUAUCUUAUUUCUAAAUGUUAAGCCGUGAUUCAAUAUUAACCCUAGAUUUAACCUAAUUUUUUCAUGUGACUUUACUAUUCUUAUUUCUAAAUGUUAAUCUGUGACGCAAUAUUAACCCUAGAUUUAACCUAAUUUUUUCGUGUGACUUUACUAUAUUAACCCUAGAUUUAAUUUAUGUAAAAUGUCAUAUCUUAUUAUAUGCUAUUUUUUUUGGAAAUUCUUAUUUAUUAAUUUUGGUAGGUCUGCAGCAAUUUAACCUAAUUUUUUCCCUCCACUAAUUCCUUAUUAGAUUUGCAACAACUCUAUCCUAAAAUUUUGGCUCUAAAUUUGCAUCAUAUAUGUUUUUCAUUUCUCUCUCUAAUAACCCUGGAUAUUUUUCAAAGCAAAAAUUUAAUAGAUAUCUUAAUCCUUAUCCUUAUUUUUUAUUAACUUUAUUAGGUCUGUAACAACUUAACCUAUUAUUUCUGUAGAUUUUUUUUUUGACACAUUGUUGUACACUUAUUUAAUACAUUUACAAACAAAAUAUCCUAAUUUUCAUGCAAACUCGGCUACCUUAAAUAAUUUGUUAGGAACCAUGAACUACAUUAAUUUUUUAUGUUUAACUAUAAAAGUAAUAAAUAAAAUUGACCCGUGCAACAAUAUUAUUCUUUUUAUCUUUUUUCUUUUUAACUUUUUUUAUUAUCAUUUGAUUGCAAUAUUGUAUCUCUAAUAAUCUAAUUUGCGUUUAUUGAUCCACCCAUGAUCUUACGGUUAAAGAUUAUUUAUUGGUCUCUAUUAUAGUCGAGAAGACCCGUGGGUCGCACUGGUCAAAAGUCUAGUCUAAAGUAAAAUAAAAUUAUGUUCCUAAUUAUAUGCUAUUUUUUGGGAAAUCUCUUACUUAUAAAUGUUAACCCGUCUCGAUAUACUUAACAUAAUUUUAACCUAAUUAUGUUAUGAUACAGUACCAACAUCUAUUCUUCUUAAUAUUAUGAAAUAUUGUAUGACAAUUAUGACAUUCAUCUAAACUAUUUUGUUAUCUAUUACCGUCAAAUAUUACCUUCCAUAUGACAUGUGCGUUAGCACGGAUCGAUGGUCUAGUUAGUAUUAUUAUUAGGUAGUUACUUGUUAGGCUCCCCUUAUAUCUUCUUAGGCCCCCUAAAAUUACUAAAUUAGCCUUUGUUAUUCCUACAAUUUAUACAUACCUAACUCUUCGGUAGAUAUUUACCGGAGGGCCAUUUUUCCAAUUAAUUUGCAACUAAUUCUAACCAACUUGCAACUACAUGUGAUAUAACAAACAUCAUCGAAUUCUAGUAAGUAGAGUGAAUAAAACAAAGGGAGUAAGAAAUUGUUACUUACCUGGUACCCUAUUGACACAAGCUGCAAGUUUCUGUGACAAUGCUUUCAGCCAAUUUCUUACCUGCACAACCAAUAACAUGCAUCAAAUCAAACAAACAAUCACAACAUUAAAAUUAAUUAAAUACAUAAGCCAAGAAGAGAUAUUAAAACAAUCACGCGACCUGCUUCUUUGUUGGGAACAGUAACAUAUACAAGGAUGCUUGGAACAGUGGUGUUAUUUGUAUUCCUGUCCAUUAUAUUAUAAUGAAAUUACUGUUCUUUGUUGAAAACCUGCUAUUCAAUUUAGAUCUGAAACAAAACAAGAGAAGCAAUUCAACAAAAUAUAUAGAGAGAAAGAAAUCAAUAAAAUAACGCAUGCACACACUCCCUGUUUUGAGGGCAGAGGAAUACAAGGGUGUGAAGAGAUUGGAGAGGCCCAAAGUGAGCAUGAAAAACGCACCUACAAUGGGUAAACAACGUCUUAGCGUGGAGGAGGAGACGAAGAUUCCGGAAGUGGAGGAGUAGAGUGUUGAUGUGGAAGAAGCCAUCUUAGAAGAAGCCUUUGUUAUGUACAUCCGGAAGGUUUUAAAUGUGAAAAUUUAAAAUGCACCACCGGUAUUUAUAUACCGGACAUAUUAGAAAGGCUAUUUUCGAAUUUUUAGGGGACCUAAAGAGAUAUUAGGGGGCCUAAAAAGCAAUACUCUUAUUAUUAUGGUUAAUAAUUUAGGCCCAUAGUGGCCCUUUAACCAAAGCAAGGCUAAAGGAAAUUGUUGUUUUAACUUAAAAAUUUGCUUUUAAAACUCGAAAUAUACCUGCCAAUGGCAAUUAAUUGUUGCUCGUUAAAUAUUUCAACGACAGUUAACAGAUAUUGUGUUUCGGUUUAUUUCAUAAUAGUAACCGCAAAUAACCAUUACAUGCACUACUACAAUUUUGGGCUUUAAUAGCGCUUCAACAUAAACGCUAUUAAAAAUGUGAAACACAGAAAUUCUAUAGUGUUUUUUGUCGAGCGCUAAUAAACAGUCCUCAUAAAUUGGCUUAUAUAGCGCUUUCGGUUGAGCGCUAUUAUUUUCCUUCUGUUAGAUAGCGUUUUUAACAAAACGCUAUGUUUGGCCUGCAUCAAUUAUCAAAAAAGAGGCGGAUUCUUUUUAAUUUCCGCGCACAUAUUUUCACCAAAACCCACCCACACCUCACCACACCAAAACAAAAACAAAUCAGAAACACGUACACCUCCAUCUACUUUUCCAAAAACCCAUCGAUCUCCUUUUCCAUAAACCCAUCGAUCUGCUUCUCUUCUUCUCACUGAGUCCAUCGAUUUCCUUCUCACUGUGUUCAUCGAACCUUCUCCAAAACCCCAUACUCACUCAUAGUUGCUUCAAUUUCUUCCUUCAUCCUCACUCACUCUUCAAUCCCUUUAUCAUACCUUCAUUGUUCCUUAAAAAAUUCAAAACCCAGAACUCAUUGAAUUCAAUCGAACCCAAAAACCCCAACUCGUCAAAAACCCUUAUCACAGAUUUCAAGAAUCGAAACCCUACCCUUUCCAGUUUCAAUUCCAUAAGUUGAUUAAUCAAUUGAAACCGUAAAGAGAAGGAGCAUCCGUAGCUGCCGCCGCCGCCGCUGUUGUCUCUGUUUGUUCUUCAAGAGCAGUAAGAUUGGUUUUUAACAAUUUUAUGUUGUAAAAUAAGUAUUUUGAUGGUAGUUUUAUGUUGUUUAUGUAUGAAAUUGGAUUGUUUAGAGUUAUGAAAUUUGGAAAGUAUAUGUUGUUUAAGUAUAAGAAUGCAAAAUUUAAGAAUAUGUUUGUUUUGUUUGUUAGAUUCAAAUUCACUUAGUUGAGACCCAAGUCAGUUUAGGUCUUGACUUGUUCUUUUUAUAUUUGUUAUUAAAGGGUAUUAAUAUGAAGUCAAAAUAUAAACUCAAGCUAGUUUACUGCUGAGGUUUAAAACACAAACUCAAGCUGUCUGUUGCUGCUGUUUUUGUUUCUGUUUGUUUGCCGUUGAGGGGUGUUCUAGGUGCAGUAGGUGCAGGCAAUAAUUGGGUCUGAGGGGUAAAUCUCAAUUUAAUAUUCUUCAAUUUUGAAUUCAAAUUUGUUUUUGUCUUCUGUUUUUUUUAGAAAAUCAAUUUGCUUCGGAACAGUUAUAAAGAACAAGAAUAUAAUGACACAUUUCUUGAUUUUAGUAUAAUAUUGAAUUUAGUUUGUGCAUUUGUGUAACAUAUUAAUUUAUGGGUUCAAUUCUUGAAUUAUUAAGCAUAUAUACUUCACUCAAAUUCAAGUUAACAUGAGUGCAGGUAUGCUACGGCUCUAACAAGGUUGCUACAAUGAAUAAGUAGAGAUAACAUAUUCAAUGAAAAAUUAGAAAUAACAGUUGCAAGUACUAGUUGAUGGAGUGCUCCCACUUGUUAGAUCAAAGAGAUGAAUCAAACAAUCCGUACAUGCAGAUGGUGUAUGCAUGUGAGUUAUUUUUUCCCUUGUGUUUUUAAUUCUAUCCUUUUAGAUACUUAUGAAUUUACAAACCAUAAUGGAAUAUCAUUACUUCCAAAAUAUGUAUCUUUUUUGUUUAUUAUUCUUGUAGGUACUAGUUGAUGCCAAAUGUUAUCUCUCUAUAUAUAUAUAUAUAUAUAUAUAUAUAUAUAUAUAUAUAUAUAUAUAUAUAUAUAUAUGUGUGUGUGUGUCUUCAAUUCCACAACCAAACUUAUUAUAUGGAUGGUCCAUGUUGCUUCAGGGACAAUUUGUGGUGUUGUUAUUUAAACUACAUGUGUACUUGCAAUGUCAAAGUCUGAUUGAACUAGUUAUUCAAGGUUAUACCACUCCUUGUUUCUCUAAAUUUCAUUUUUCAAUUCAAACUUAAAAAAAAAAAAAAAAAAAAAAAUCAAUUGUCACAACACUUGUACAUGUUAGUAUUUUUCAUGUUUUGAAAGCAAGUAUUUGUGUUCCAUUUAUGCUAUGUUGUGGUUGGUGCAUUGGUUCAUCUUAGCGCUUCUUGAAUAUUCUAUUUUUGUUAGAUGUCUGAGUUGGUGUUAUGUUGCAGAAUUUUGCAGUUCAGUUUUGUCUUAUCAGUACUACUGUGAUUAGUUUAUGAUGUUGGAAGAGCUGCUGUGAUGCUGCAAAAUUUUGGGGUUCUAGUUUGGUGUAUCAGUUUGUGUUCUUUAGCGUUGAUGAUGCUUUGGAGUUUUAGCUUCGUUCCAGCCAUGCGUCCUAAGGUGUCAAGCAAGUGAGCUUCAGGUUAAGCUUGAUGAUGUUGUAGAGUUAUUAGACUCAUUCCAGCCAUGUGUCAUAAUAGAUCCCUGAAGCCUUUGAGCUUUGUAGCAUUGUUGUGUUGCAGCUCGAGAGGUAAGAAUCGAUUCUCAUAACUAGAUUGUGGUGCUUAUUUUGGGUGAUCUAGCUCUGUACCUUAUGAUAGAUAGCUACGGGUAGAUUUGAACGGACAAGUUUGUCGGUCAAGGACUUUGUAAUUCUAAAUUCAUGGAAUUAUAAAAUGUUUUUAAAAAUUGAUAAGAAGUUAUAAAACUAUGAAUUUAAAAUAUAAAUAUAAAACUAUAAACUUAAUGUAUCAAUGCUACAUAAAACUCAAUGCUAUAUAAAACUAUGAAUUUAAUGAAUUAAUGUUAGAUGAAUUAAUGAAUUAAUCUUAGACUGAUUAUUAUUUUCUUAAUAAUGUUUCUUUCAUAUACCUUGUGAUGGAUAGCUACAAGUAGAUUUUUCUAGUUUAGAUUAUUUCUUUUAAACUUGCGCCCGUGAUGUUUAAUUCUUGGCUACAACUGUAAAUGUGAAUCUGAUAAAGAGAGGACCUUGACAAAAUUGAUUAAGUAUUAUAUCUGGUAAAUUAGUUGACUUUAAUUUGAGUAGUUGUCAGAAUAAAACAUUUGACAUUUGAAGAGGCUGUAAAAGAAUAUGUAUUCUUUAUGGAAUUUGUUCACUAUGUCAUGUCCCUUAUGGAGAGUUUUUGGAUUUGUUGAUGCAUUGCUGAAUUCAUUUUGUAUACUCUGCAAUGUUACUUCAGGUUCGUUAGAAUUCUCGAGGUCAACCAGUUGGAGAAGAAAGUCAAGGUUUUGUCAGUUACAUUGGAGUCAUCGUUCGUCGGGAGGUUCCAAUUUGUAUGGAAAAUUGGAGAAAAAAGCCAAGGUUUUGUUAGUUUCUUUAGGUUUGUUAUCGUUCAUAUAUAUGUAUUGUGCAUAGACUUUGCAUUUUUAUGUAAGUGUACAUUAGAUGUCAUGUGUAAUUAAGUUUUUUAUCAACACAUUAUUGUUUAUUUAUAUUAAUGGAUUACUAGUGUUUCUGAUAUGUAUAUAUUUGGUCUGGACGGUAGAUGCUUUUAGCUGUGGAUGUAAUUUUAUAAAAAAAAAUAGGGACUUUUAUUAGCGCUUGUCUGAAAGCGCUAAGAAACACCUGUCUAAAAAUAGCAUAAAAAUAAGGCUUUAUUAGCGCUUUUCUGAAAGCGCUAAGAAACACCUAUCUUUUUAAUAGCGUUUUAAAAGCGCUAUUAUAGGAUUCUGACCUAUAAUAGCGGGGGCUUUCUUAGCGCUUCGAAAGCGCUAUUAAAUGCUAAAAUGAGUGCUAUUAAAGGGGGUAUUUUGUAGUAGUGAUGUCAGCGAUAUUUACACAAGUGUCACGCUGCUUGUGUAAUUCAAUUUUUUCUUUAGCAGUAACCUGACACGUGGAUUAUUCAUAUGAAUUAAAAUUAAAAAAAAUAAUCAUUUCUUCAUCCUUGUUCAUCUUCUUCAUUGUAUUUCCCCUUCUUUUCGUCAACCCUAAACCCCAAAAAUUCAUCAAAACAUAAAAUCAUCAUCAUCUCCUCAAUCCAUAAAUUCAAAACAAUUUCAACAACAUCUUUAACUCAAACGAGUGUCUACUAGACACAAGGUUAAUAUUA